rnacentral:rRNA from 2 species
AUGUGCCAGCAGCCGCGGUAAUACAUAGGUCGCAAGCGUUAUCCGGAAUUAUUGGGCGUAAAGCGUUCGUAGGCUGUUUGUUAAGUCUGGAGUUAAAUCCCGGGGCUCAACCCCGGCUCGCUUUGGAUACUAGCAAACUAGAGUUAGAUAGAGGUAAGCGGAAUUCCAUGUGAAGCGGUGAAAUGCGUAGAUAUAUGGAAGAACACCAAAGGCGAAGGCAGCUUACUGGGUCUAUACUGACGCUGAGGGACGAAAGCGUGGGGAGCAAACAGGAUUAGAUACCCUGGUAGUCCACGCCGUAAACGAUGAUCAUUAGUCGGUGGAGAAUCACUGACGCAGCUAACGCAUUAAAUGAUCCGCCUGAGUAGUAUGCUCGCAAGAGUGAAACUUAAAGGAAUUGACGGGGACCCGCACAAGCGGUGGAGCAUGUGGUUUAAUUUGAAGAUACACGGAAAACCUUACCCACUCUUGACAUCCUUCGCAAAGCUAUAGAGAUAUAGUGGAGGUU